rnacentral:RNase_P_RNA from 1 species
GAGAGGGAGAGUGCGGCCGACGGUGGCACAUCUCCUGUGCUGCUGAGGAAAGUCCUCCCACCGGCCAGACACGCAGCCGCAUGCAAGUGCGGGUGGCGAGAGUCACGGCAAUGACACAGAAACGACACGGCCUGCCGCCAGUUAUGAGACGAUCGAGCCCCCGUCAAUGGGGGCGAGAGGCGCAAGCAUCUCGUUGAACGCAGCGGCAGGAUACGAUGAAACGGUGAAUCCCUGCGGGUGCAAGCCAGAACAGGGCAGAUGGAUCGUCUGGCAUCCGCCCGGGUAUGGCGCGCAGCUGAAUGCCGCACUGAACAGAAGGAGGCUUACUCCUCCCACUC